UACAGAUGAGAAACCUGUGCCAGGCUUAGAAACAAAGCGAUGUGUUUCCAGUGCCCAAGAUGGUAAGUACUCUGUGCAAAGUUCAGAAGCGACAUGCCAUUGCAAGGGUAGCUGACUAAGCCACUGCCCUCAGGAGAUCAGAGAUUUGGACCAUAGACCCAAUAACUGUUUCUUGUCUUUUACCCAGGGGCUGAAUACUCCCAGGAGAUACAUUAUGUUGCUCCCGUGUUCCAGCAGGUGGCACCAAGAGAUCAGAGUGAACCACAGUUUGGGAUAGGAGACACAGUUGAAAUGGAAAACAGUAAUAAUUCUAAAGGCGGAUAUGUCUAUUCUGAACUUGUCUUCUGAGAUUUAACGAUGUAGGCUACAUCUCAAGGUACAUACAAUCCUGUCAUCAGACAAGAGUUUUGUUAGGUGGGAUCCUGACUAAUGACAGUUUUUACAUGCUUUUGCCAUUUUUUGGCAAGGAUCAUUUCCCCUAUUUCCA
rnacentral:lncRNA from 1 species